AUGCCUCCAUGGGCUUACAAGCAAUUCCUAGC
rnacentral:piRNA from 1 species